UAGUGUGUGUGUGUGUGUGUGUGUGUGUGUGUAAUAUGUGUGAUUGUGUAGUGUAUGAUGUAGUGUGUGUGUGUGUGUGUUAUAUGAGUGUGUGUGUGUGUGUGUGUGUGUAAUAUGAGUGUGUGUGUGUGUAAUAUGUGUGAUUGUGUAGUGUAUGAAGUAGUGUGUGUGUGAGAGUGUGUGUGUGUAAUAUGUGUGUGUGUGUGUGAGAGUGUGUGUGUGUAAUAUGUGUGUGUGUGUGUGUGUGUGUGUGUGUGUGUGUGUAUAAUAUGAGUGUGUGUGUGUGUAAUAUGUGUGUGUGUAAUAUGAGUGUGUGUGUGUGUGUGUGUGUAAUAUGAGUGUGUGUGUGUGUGUAAUAUGAGUGUGUGUGUGUGUGUAAUAUGAGUUUGUGCGUGUGUGUGUAAUAUGAGUGUGUGUGUGUGUGUGUGUGUAAUAUGAGUGUGAGUGUGUGUGUGUAAUAUGGGUGUGUGUGUGUAAUAAGUGUUUGUGUGUGUGUGUGUAAUAAGUGUGUGUGUGUGUGUGUGUGUGUGUAAUAUGAGUUUGUGUGUGUGUAAUAUGAGUGUGUGUGUGUGUGUGUGUAAUAUGAGUGUGUGUGUGUGUGUGUGUGUGUGUAAUAUGAGUGUGAGUGUGUGUGUGUAAUAUGGGUGUGUGUGUCUAAUAAGUGUUUGUGUGUGUGUGUGUAAUAAGUGUGUGUGUGUGUGUGUGUCCUCUCCAGUCCAACUCUGUUCACCCACUGAUGCGUCUCUCCCCAAACCUCUCUGCACGGAGGAAGAAACAACUCCUGCUCGUGAAGUCCCUAGGUCCUCUCAGGGCUUAGGAGUUCCACCAUCUUCAGCACAGGAGAGGAGAAGAGGAGAGAGAGAGGAGGAGAAGAGGAGAGAGAGAGGAGAGGAGAGAGAGGAGAAGAGGAGAGAGAGGAGGAGAGGAGGGUGUGUACAUACUCUCUUCAUUGACGGAGCACCAACUGCUGAACAUGGCCGCACAUUGUCCUGAUGACGUGAUCCUGCUGAACACUCCCGCCCAAGCGUCUUGUGAUCUGACCCUCCUGAACGCACCCUUAGGGGCUACACCAGACACAGCUAUCUGAUUCCCACCACAUCCCAUAACCCCAUCAUGUGUGUGUGUGUGUGUGUGUGUGUGUAACCCCAUCAUGUGUGUGUGUGUGUGUGUGUGUGUGUAACCCCAUCAUGUGUAUGUGUGUGUGUAACCCCAUCAUGUGUGUGUGUGUGUAACCCCAUUAUAACCCCUGAACACGCUUCAGCAUACUCAUGACCUGAUCCUACUGAGCGUGCCUGUGCCCCCCCCCCCCCGCCCCCCCCUGGCACACCGUUCACUGCUGUCAUUGGUUAAUAAAGUGCUGGACAGAACUCCUC
rnacentral:lncRNA from 1 species